rnacentral:rRNA from 1 species
GAUGAACGCUGGCGGCGUGCCUAAUACAUGCAAGUCGAGCGAACAGACGAGGAGCUUGCUCCUCUGACGUUAGCGGCGGACGGGUGAGUAACACGUGGAUGACCUACCUAUAAGACUGGGAUAACUUCGGGAAACCGGAGCUAAUACCGGAUAAUAUAUUGAACCGCAUGGUUCAAUAGUGAAAGACGGCUUUGCUGUCGCUUAUAGAUGGAUAGGCGCCGCAUUAGCUGGUUGUUAAGGUAACGGCUUACCAAGGCAACGAUGCGUAGCCGACCUGAGAGGGUGAUCGGCCACACUGGAGCUGAGACACGGUCCAGACUCCUACGGGAGGCAGCAGUAGGGAAUCUUCCGCAAUGGGCGAAAGCUUGACGAAGCAACGCCGCGUGAGUGAUGAAGGUCUUCGGAUCGUAAAACUCUGUUAUUAGGGAAGAACAAAUGUGUAAGUAACUAUGCACGUCUUGACGGUACCUAAUCAGAAAGCCACGGCUAACUACGUG